CAUUUUUAUUGGCCAUAGAGAAUGGUACUGUGUGUGCCAAUAUAGCAUGGAUGUCUGACUCAGAACAUAAAGUGCAGGUGCCAGCAGCAAGAAGAUGCUGCUAAGAAAUACCAGCUCUCCGGGACUGCAAAGUAUCAGCUGUCUGAGGAGACCAGAACUGGGAACAGAAAGAGCUGCUGAUGACAGAAGACACGUUUUUGUUGCCAUCUCAUCAGCUCCCCUCGCGCUCUUUACCCUGGAGUCGGAGUACACACCCGUGGCGGCAGGAGUGCUGGAGCUGCCCCUUCUGAGACUGAUCCAAAAAACUCUGACCCCCCUCUUCCUCAGGGAAACUUGCAACCUCAGAGAGUCUUCAUGCAUAUGGGAGAGGAGUGAGAGGACAGCGUUCGAUAAAUGCAGCUAUUCCGCUCCUCCUCACGGGAUGUUCCUGGCAGCGGAUAAGACCUCGUGGUUUGCCCUCAUCCCUGGAGUCUGCUCGAGGAGGUAAUCUUCGGAGAAAAGAAAAUUAGCAGCAUUACUAUAUUUUGUGCAGUGCCUUUCACAGUGUAUCCCUGAUCUCACUGGGCCUUGGGGUACACCAGACCUACAGGUAACCGCAGGACUUUUGGGGAAAAAAAGCAAAAAGGAAUGAAGAUGGCAGCACAGUUUCUGACAAGAUUUGGAGAAUUAAGAUGACAAAAAGCAGGCUAGUGGGCUUAAAGCUCCUGCACUGAUCCGAGAGACUUUCUUGUUUUAUACAUCCUUCUGGUCCUUUGUACUUUAAUGUUAUGCUUACUACGCAAAACCCAUGUAGGUGCAACUGUAUGUCUUUGUCUGUGUACGCACUCGCAUAUGACUACAUUUGCUUAUUUGCAUAUGUGUAUGAAUACAUGCAGCACGCGUGGGUGGUGAGAAGCUAAAGGAACAUUUUCAAGGUUGACAAGACCAAAAUUUGAUCCUCCUUCAACCGGCUGGGUUUUUCUAAGUGCGUGCUGAGGCAGCAGGAGAAAGAAUCCCCUUUCGGGCUGAAGGAUGCAGCAAGACUAAGGCUGCAGAAGGAUAAAAAAACCCCAGCUCGUCAGCUUGGUGCCAAAGAGUUAAUUCAGCACGGGCUUUGCUGUUAGCAGGGUUAUGCUGCUGACAAGCCUCGAUAGUACGGGCGUCCUCUCGUCCCUGGUACCUAGGCAAGGCAGCAGAAACUCGCCUGGAGACGAGUCCCUGGAACUCCGCACACAGGAUCCUAACGGCCCUGCGUCCCGUGCCAGCUCUCAGUGACAGAGCUGACACGGAGAGGCAAGAGAGGGCACAGCUGGCAUGCAAAACCCUGCCAUCAGCAUGCCCGCAUCUGCCGAAUCUCUUGUGAGCGGUUCACCCAGCUGGGAUUUUAAUACGGCUACAUCCCUCCUUUUGCAAAGCGGUAUUUUUCCCCCUUAAUAAUAGAGAUCUGAAAAAAAAAAAAAAAAACCAAACCAACACAAAAUUAAAUGUUUUUAGGGUAGCACACGUGUGUGAAAUUUUAGGCCUGUUGACCUUGGCAGGGCCCCCGUAAGAAAUUAGUACAAAAUUAGUGGCAUUUGUUUUUCUGAAAGGCCGUCGGCCACGAAGGCAAAGGCAGGCAGAGGGAGAAGCAGCAGCCUGCCAACGCCGGGCCCAAUCCCGGAGCUCCCGCCUGCGGUCCCGCAGCGCUCCGCAGGUUCGGGUGCAGGGUGCCUGGUGGGUAGUGGCGAAACGAGGGGGUGGAUGUGUGGCACAGUCAGUCCUACGCUUCGCAGCUCCUCAAUUGCAGCUGCCAUCAGUGGGAGUUUAUGGCACCAGGCACCCCACACCCAAGCCCGCAAAGCACUGCAGGAGCUCAGGGGCGCUGACAGCUCUCGUCACCUCCCGGGAAGUGCCCAGACCCACACAGGGCUGGGCCAGACACGCCACUCCAACCUGGCACCUCGCCUUUCGGCUGCUGACACUGGCUGCAAAUGCUAACAGAUUUAUUUUUUUUUUAUUCCAUGGGUGGACAUACAGCUCCCGGCUUGACCCGGCAGAUUCCCUGCCUUUCUUCCACGGCCUUUAUAUUUUAGUGAAAAGCCUUAAAUAGCAUUUGUGUAAUCAUGCUUUUCUGCUGACCCAUAUUCUCAGCACAGGUUCAAACCCUGCCGGCAGCUGCUCCAGGUUCAGCUUGUUAAAUCCUCCCUGAGUUGCUGGGGAAGCAGAAUUAGUUAUCCAGGAGGAGAACCAGGCACUAGGAGCAGGGGAGGGAAACGCAAGGGACAGCCAAGUCCCUGGAGGCAUUACGGCUGAGCCCCAUGUUUGGUUUCUCUUCUGCUGUGACUCCUGCAAGCCAAAGCCCCUCACAGGCACGAACCUGGGCGCUGAUUUAAAGGCUGCAUGCUCUGCUAGAGGUAGAGCAAGGAUUUAGGGCUGAAGGUGAUUUAUGAAUCCCGAUGCUGAGGUGCCUGGUCUUUGGGGUGGAGCCCAGAGGCAGAGCUGAGGUGCUGAGUUCCCUGCACCUCUGAAUAAAAGCCAGAAGAACCACUGGGCUGAGCAUACAGCUCAGUGUAGGUUACCCCAUAUGAAAUGCUGACGCUGGGUGUAUAACAUAAUGGCACCACUUCCCUGACCUCACAGGACUUGUAUGUGUGCAUGUUUCAAGAAAAAGCUGGUUUCCAACUGAUGCUCACAGAGCUGAAUGCAUUUGGGGUUCCUUUCUUCCUCCCUCCUCAUGACAAGGGCUUGGGAUGGCAGAAAUCCCAAGCAAAAAUCCCUCUUCUCUGAAUCUCCACUCCCUCCCCUUAAAACCGGUCAUUCUUCAGAACCAGAUAUGACCUUUGUUACAUUUUACUUUCUCCUAGCAUGGGGACACGUGGGGGCCAGUCCUUGCUCCAAAAGGCUCUUUUUUUAGGCAAGAUUCAAGAGCAGGGCAGUCUCCAGGAAGGUGGGGAAAUGUGCAUUUGAACUUCUGCAGGCAGGAGAGGAAACUGAACCUGCAUUUGCCACAGCAAGGGUGAGUGCCCUCACCACACUGCUACGAGAUACUUUUCUUCCCAGGAGUUACUCGAUGUUGUGACACUUUGAAGGAAGGUGUCUGCUCUGCUUCUGCCCUUUCCCACUUUUUUUACAGGGCUCCAGAAGUCGCCUACCCUCCCCUUGGAGCAGUCCCCAAGUUCAAGCACUGCAGGGGCCACCAGAAGGUGCCUGUGCCAAGCACUGAAGGCCUCUGCUGAGAUACUCUGAGCAUUCAGGGCAGGGCUGAGGCCACAGCAGAGUCUGGAGGAGAUGCCGCCUUGCCCCCCCAAGAGUGCUAAAACACUGCCAAAGACCUUAACGCCAUCCAGAGCAGCCGAGGACACAGAGGGCACAAGCGUAAUCCUUAACCAUAUUGGUCCCUUCCCUCCCACGCCACCCCCUCGCCUCCCACACACACCCCGCUGUGGUUUUGUCUUCAUGCAAAGGGACAUUAUGCUUGGGCACUUUUGAAAUACUUGAAUCCCUGAGUCAGACUUGUCUGUAAUUUCCUAAGCUCUGCCAUGAAUUAAUUGUCAGUUCUGGCAUCUGCCAAGAAGCCCCCUGAGACUGGAUCACCAACAGACUUUUGCCAGGGCUCAUGUUUUGCAUUGAAUAUCCCACAGGAGCAGCUCGACUACCUGUAAAAACACUAGUUUGCAAUAUUUUGGAUUUCUCAGAGAAGCCUCCAACAUGCUGACUGGUACCUAGGAGCUGUUACGUGACCCAACGAGUCAAAUACAUAUAAUUAUAAAGUAACUGCAAGGGUGAAUAUUGAUCACACAUCAUCAUUUGAACAUAUGGACUUGCGGAUUCUAUGUAGUGAGCAAUAGUCUGUGUACUGCUGGGAUCUCACACAGCUUGGGGAGUAGGUUAUACUCUCCUAUAGUGUGCUGUGGCAGUCCUUCAGCUUUUAUGUCCCCACAAAAAUAGAGCGGCUGCCACAGCCCUGCAGUGAUGCUGCUGGAUGUGAGACUGGUCGGAAAUGGACAUCUGAAGGAAACCACCAGUUUUAGGUCUAUGUGCAUCAAGUCCCUCGAGCCCAUUCUAGAAAUGGCAGUGCUAAAUCCCAGCUCCACAGAGUGCUUAACCGAAAACUGGCAUUGGUUAUGUCUCCUCUAGUGAAACAGGCCCAGGCCACAGGCACACGGAGUUGGAUGCUCUUCUCUGCCCCAUGAAAAGCAAAUACCUAUUUUCCAUUAAGUUUUCUCCUGGAGAAUUUUAGACGGGCUUAACUGUGCCAUCCUGUGGGAUCAACACCCAAACCUGCAACAGAGCUGGUCUGUCAUCUGCCUGCUACUCCUGUGAGAUAACAUAGUGGUGCAGCAUCUCUGCAGAUGCAUCAAGUUGAGCAUCCAAUAUACAUUCUUCCUGGCCAAAAUGGUUUGCCUGAAGAUGUUUGAAUAUCUGGCUCAUUAGACUGUGUGCUUCCAUGAUCGGCAUAGAAAUCCAAGUUAGAAAAGACCCCUUCGGUCAUCCAGCCCAACCCUCGGCGCUGUGGAAUUGUUCCCUCUGCCUCCUAUAUACUUUUGACUGUUUUAUCCAGCCCAAUUAUAAAUGCCUCAGAUAAUGGAUUCCCCCUAGAAAACCGCUCACCACCAGUGACCACUGUUAUUAUGAACUGGGACUGGGAUUACAUCCAGUUACAAGAAGGGAGAUUUCAAUGCGGUACAUACAAAAGGAUAAUGGAGGAAACAGCCAAAGAAAAGCUAUGAACUGAAUACAGAGAGCCUGUGUUUCAAAGUAAAAGACCCACGGCUUAACAAGAGAGGAUAAUUUUUGAGACUGCAUCUAAUUCAGACCAUCUGAAGGUAAUCUGGACCUUUAACUACAAAACAUAUUCCUCAGAGUUGGGUGGAUUUUUUUUCCACCAGCCAAACCUCCUUCAGCGGAUAGUAGGAGUUUUGAUGAGAGUUCAGUUGCUAAGACAGACAUUUUGAGGGCCUGAUCUUCAAACUGUAAAGUUCUGCUUGUAAUUUCACCUGCCUGAAUUCUAAGUGAUAUUUCCUUCUGUUUCCUUCUACUUCAAAUAAUAAUAAGGACGGAGGAUUAUUUUUAAGAGGCUCCUUAUAAACUGAAAUAUAAGGGUGCAUUUCUAACAUCAUUUUUGAGACCACCUUUAUCCUUCUUAAAUUAUUUUCAAGCUCUAUGAUGGUUUCAGCAAAACAAUUCAAAAUGCUUGUCACCACUACCCAGUAAUUCAAGGCUGAUUUGUAAAUCCUUACAUAAUGUUCAUGGGUUUUGUAGUGUGCAAUUACAUUUUUCAAAUGCUUCUCCUUUUUCUUAUUCCUUUCCCAGGUCUUGUUUAAUUUAACCAAU